GAUGAACGCUGGCGGCGUGCCUAAUACAUGCAAGUCGAGCGAACGGACGAGAAGCUUGCUUCUCUGAUGUUAGCGGCGGACGGGUGAGUAACACGUGGAUAACCUACCUAUAAGACUGGGAUAACUUCGGGAAACCGGAGCUAAUACCGGAUAAUAUUUUGAACCGCAUGGUUCAAAAGUGAAAGACGGUCUUGCUGUCACUUAUAGAUGGAUCCGCGCUGCAUUAGCUAGUUGGUAAGGUAACGGCUUACCAAGGCAACGAUGCAUAGCCGACCUGAGAGGGUGAUCGGCCACACUGGAGCUGAGACACGGUCCAGACUCCUACGGGAGGCAGCAGUAGGGAAUCUUCCGCAAUGGGCGAAAGCCUGACGGAGCAACGCCGCGUGAGUGAUGAAGGUCUUCGGAUCGUAAAGCUCUGUUAUUAGGGAAGAACAUAUGUGUAAGUAACUGUGCACAUCUUGACGGUACCUAAUCAGAAAGCCACGGCUAACUACGUG
rnacentral:rRNA from 1 species